rnacentral:lncRNA from 1 species
AUCGACCCAAACAACAUUCAACAACACUUAGAACUUUUACACAUGAUCAACCCACAAUCCUUCUAACAACAAACAAAGUUUUACACAUGCUUAACCCAAUAACUUUCACCCACUCUUUUUUCAGGUUUAACUUACAACCUUCAAAUAUUUUUAAAAAAAAUACAAAAGAGAAUCACACUCUGAAUAAAAAAAAAUAACAACAUAUGUACAAAAAAAUUCUGAAGCAC